AACGUUUCACGUGAGCAAACCUGGGCGUAUUCCUCUCUCUUUCCUCAUCCUCAUCCGAGUGGCUCUCUCCUUGUGCUGUGGCGGCGGCGGCGCCCGGCUCUGCUCGGACGGACUCCACCGAAGGCGCUCGGCUCCCCUCGGGCUGCACCUGCGACGGCCGGCCCUCUGACUGCACCGACGGUGCCCGCCCCCCCUCGGCAUCCACCAGCGGUGCCCGGCUCCAAGUCCCCGCCGCCACUCCGACCGUCCUCUAGCAGCUCCGUCCGGUGGUCCGGCCAGCUGCCUAGCUCCCUCCGACCGUCCGGCCAGCACCGCCUCCUGCUCGCGGUCUCGCCCAGCUCCUCCGCCCUCCGCUGAGACGCAGAUCUUGGUGCGGCAGGGCACCACAGAGGCUGUGCGUGUGUUGGUGGCCUGGUGCUAGCAACCGAGAGCCAGUGUCCAGCCUGCCAGCUCAGCCCGGCGCCAACCGCCCAGCGGCUGGCUCGGGCAGCGGCCAGUGGCCAACAGCCGACAACCAUACCUCGUUUCGUCGGCGUCCUCCGCCACUGCCCCCAACUAUGCACCCUGUUCCAGUCCCCUCCCAGCCCUUUACCGCAACUCCUGCAAAAAAACUUGUUUCAAGGAGCACUGCUGUGAGGAAGGCCAUCCAUUUUGUCAACCUGCGGACAGCUGGAAGGUCUAGUGGAAACCUGGCUAUGAACUCCGUACCGAAACCAGCACUUGGGUCCGAAACAUCUUGGAGGGAGGAUUUUGCUGUGGGGGAUAAGGAUGCUGUGGUCAUUGUUGAUCAUGGGUCAAGACGCCAAGAAUCCAAUCUCAUGCUAAAUGACUUUGUUGAGAUGUUCCGGGCGAAGACUAGCUAUAGUAUUGUUGAGGCUGCUCAUAUGGAGCUAGCGGAGCCUACUAUAAAGGAUGCUUUUGGAAAAUGUGUGCAACAAGGAGCAUCACGAGUUAUUGUCAGUCCAUAUUUCCUUUCCCCUGGACGACACUGGAAGCAAGUAUGUUUUUUCCUUUUUUUGUUUUUAUGUAAUGUUAGAGUAUAUUAACCAUGUUAGAGUUAGAGUAUAUUAGGCAACUCUUGAUAUGGUUGAUUUAGGAUUGAUUGUAAUCCCGAGAUAACCUUCCUUCUAUCUAGGAUAACCUUCCUUAUCUUUAGGAUAGACUUCUUGCCCUCUAAGUCAUGUACUCCUAUAUAUUCUCCCUAGAGGCUUAAUGCAAUAUAAUCCCAGUAUCCCACCAUCACACACAAUAUACUCAAUCUCUCCUUCCUACAUGGUAUCACAAGUUUAGGUUACGCCCUAGCCUCCCUUCUGCUGUCGCCGCCGCGCCGCCCAUGGGGAGAUCGAUCUACCGCGGGGGCAGCGUCCUCGUAGGACGCGUCGCGGAUCCAUCUGAUCUACCGUGUUCAUUGUCGCAUUGUCAAGCACAACACCAGAUUGGAACUCACCAUCAAGGCCCCGUCGGCGACCUCUAUCCACCUUCCCAUCGACUACCCCAACCGGAUCUGGCCCAUUGCACGUCGUCUUGGUGGCGGUUGUGAUGGGGUUGUAUCCCCGCCGCCGGCAACAUCGCACACCGCCAUGGAGGCGGAUGCGACCUCGGCUGCUGGCCGGACCGUGGCUGGGCAGUCCUUGGGACCAGCACGUUGUGGGGAGGACGGGCCGGGUCUCGCUCCGCCCCGGUUUCGCGCCGCCCUUCUUCUCCCCGCACUGGUGGCCACCCCUCCACUAGGGUACCCCGGUGAUGUACCAGAUCCGUUGCUCCUGCGUCUUUUUGUUUUCCCAGUCAGUGAUCGGGUUUGCGUCUCCAUCGCCCGUCGGCUCGCGCGUCAGCGACAUUGACCUCGACAACACUGGCUCCAUCUUCUCCGACUGUGCUGCAUGAUCGGGUUUGCAUUGACUUCAUCCUCUACGACUACCUCGACUGCGUCGCUGUCUUCGUCUAUGGCGCCCUCCUGUGCCACCAUCAACCCGGCGCCUCCUGGUGUGCCGCAGGGGCUCAAUGCAAUAUCAUCCCACCAUCAUGCACAAUAUACACAAUCUCUCCUUCCUACAUGACAUUCCUGCUUUAGCAGCAGAGGCAUCAAAGGAGCACUCAAAUAUACCCUAUAUUGUCACUGCCCCUCUUGGGCUGCAUGAGCUUAUGGUGGAUAUCAUGAAUGAUCGCAUCAAGUACUGCCUGCGACAUGUUGCGGGUGAUGUCGAUGAGUGUACAGUGUGUGCUGGAACCGGAAAGUGCCGCCUGUACUCCUGAUGGAGCAUACCUGGGAGGCACAUCGAUACUGUUACCAUUUAUUAUGAGAUCUGGAGAAUACGAGAUCUGACCAUAUUCUGAGCAGAUCGUCAGAAUUAGACAAGUGCCAAAUUAGUUAUGCUGUGCAUGCUUGCGAACAUCAAUAAUGGUAGAGAUUCAUUAGCUAAUCUUGAGUUUAUUUACAUAACGAACAAACUCAGUCAAGUGCUCUGAUAUUUCCAUUCACAUGUAAUCUAUAUUCCUGCUACCUUGUAGUUGAAUGAAUUAACAUGGAUCAAAUGAUAAUAUAAUGUGCGCUUGUUUGAUUUGCCAGUUUUUUGUUUACAUUUUUCAUCCUUAAAAUACUGACACGAGUGAUGCUCCUCUCAUUCAUCUAAUCGUCUUUCCGACACUGACAUAAGUGUAUCUGUUUAGAACAGUUCUAUCUCUAUAAAAAAGUAAAUCUGAAUCUAGAUAUCACUGCAGAGUAACUACAUCUCCUACAGUUGCCAUCUCUAGUUUUUAAAUUCUGUUACCAUUUCGUGUGAACACUGCAAUGUUUAUCUUAUGUUAUCUUACAGGUAUGUGAGCUUUCUAGUUGACAGUAUAUGCAUAGAGAGGGCCUGUCAAGAUGCGGUGCAGGCACCGGGUGUCCAAGGAGGAAAUAUACUACAAGAUAAGAUAGUAAAAACUAUACAAAGGGUGAAAAGCCAGGUUCACUGGCUAAGAUCGGUGAUCCUGAAGUAAAAUUAUUUAUAGAGAAAUGUAUUGCUAAAGCCCACCAGGAGGUAGUGAGCUGCUGCUUUGCACAGAUCAAUUAGUGCCUAUUUAUGAUUCACAAAUAGUGUCUGUUGUUUACCAAGAAUGCCUUAUCAAUGUCAACUCUCCAUUGGUGUUUCCCACAAAGUAAUCUUCUCGUGAUGAUGCUACUGCUUACCAAACUCAGUGCAGAUGCAGCUCAAUGCUACAAUGAGAAAUCCAUUCA